UACAGAGGUGGCAAGCGUUGUUCGGAAUUACUGGGCGUAAAGGGCGCGUAGGCGGUCUUGUCAGUCCCUUGUGAAAUCCCCCCGGCUCAACUGGGGAACUGCACGGGAAACAGCAGGGCUUGAGUUCGGGAGAGGGAAGCGGAAUUCCGGGUGUAGCGGUGAAAUGCGUAGAUAUCCGGAGGAACACCGGGUGGCGAAGGCGGCUUCCUGGACCG
rnacentral:rRNA from 1 species